AAAAUGCAGCGGAUUCUUCGUCCUGUGCCUGAUACAAAGAGAUGCAGAGCUCUCCAUGCGCUCCAGAAUUCUUCAGCAGCAAGAAGCUAACGAUAACGAUUGCUGUUUUUCCCAAACAUAUCCUUCCUCUUCUUUUUAUUCCUGUAACUCUUCAUUCCCACUGAGUGAUUUUCAGGAGCAUCAUUACUACCCUGUUGCAGCAGCAGCUUCAUCUGUCUGAAACAAGAGCAGCUGAGUAGGCGUGAGUCACCCUUGUUCCAGUAAGGAAGCCACUUCAGGAAGCCUCUCUAGCAAUGAUGUCCUGUGCAACCCUUGUCUGCCGCCGAGCUAUUCAGCUCUAACAAUGCUGACAGUGUGUAAUACUGCCCCGGAAACCUUCAGAGAUUGCUUGUCAGACGUAGCCAGUGUCUGCAGUGCUAAUCUAGCUGCAGACAGAUCUCGGGUAACGAAGCCAAGGGAAAGGUGGUACCCCUUUGGCAGUGAAUGGCAAGGGACCAAACGGUGCGGGAGUUGUUUCAUGAGCACUGAUGGUAGCCCGGAACAUAGGCAGAAAAAAAGAGACUGCCUCUGAGCGUCUUAAAGUCAGCUGAAAAACUGAGUGGCUAAAAACAAUAAGGCUGCUGUAAGUGGCCUGGGGAGAGGGGAGGCUUCAAGGGCAGAUUACAAACCUGAGAGUACAGUGAAACUGAUGUGAAAGCUGCCACAGAGGAGGCAGCUUUUGAGUGAUGUAUUGAGCCUGUAAUGGAAAGGGCUUGGUAUCCCACAAGCCUUUAGCCCCAGAAUGAUACACAUUCUUCAGGAUGGAGAAAGGGAGGAAGUGCAUUUGCCAUUAAUUUUUAAUUAUAUUGGAGUGUUCUACAGUGAUGGGUAGUUUUUACUGUACAGGCUGUCUGCAGCAGAGGGUGGCCCACUGGAAACCUCAGCAGAGAGGAGAGGACUAGAAAAUGUUUCAAAAACACUGCUGCAAUGCUGCAAAAAAUGAAAUAUUACUACACAAACUGAACGUUUCCAUCAAAGUGCUCCACUGUGACUAAAUUAUCAUUUCUUAGACCUGCAUUUCCAUUUCUUCAGGAAUGAGAAGAUCAUACAGCUUGCACUCCACUGGUGGCCAGGAGAUAUUGUCUCUGUGGUUCUCAGAGACUUGGUUCCCUGUGCAGUCAUGGGUCUCUCCUGUGCCCAAAUAAGGCAUGUGGACCAAAGUCUGAGCUCCUUUUGGAGUGUUUCUGAUUCAGAGGGAGUAUGCUGAAGGAUUCAGUCCUCCAAAUUAAGUUUCUGAUUUGGCUCUCUUUUCAUUUAACUCCCCUUCUUUCUGCCUUAGUCUGGCCACUUUUAUUUGGGUUGGAAGAGUCUUCGCGAUAAGUAUCUGAAGUGUCUGGCAGACAAAGGAGCAGUCAUCUCGCUUUGCUAGUACUGCAGUCCGAGUAAGAGGCGGUAGAGGGAGGGAGGAGAGGGAGCCUGAGGUUUUGCCGAUAGCCAGGCUACUGCUUCCAGCCUCCAGCUGGCUCCUUGCUCAGGUGGUUGUGUAGCUGUGACAUGGCCUCUCUGCCAGCCUGACGGACCACCCAUGAGUAAUGAGUGAGAACCACACAAGCUGCCAAGAGGACCUGUUUUUACAAAGUCCUGCUAGUCCUUUCCAGGCCAGGAAAUGUUGCUCCUUCCUGGUUACAGAGAAUCUGUGGAAAAGAAGGCCCUGGGCACAUCGCUUCUGCAUAUCUGCAGCCCAGCUUGCACACAGCAGUCUGGAUUUGAGCAGUGUGAGCUUCCUUGGGUUCAUGCUGGGAAAGAAGAACCAAGAGGACUGGGUCCUUUAUUGCAGAGAGGACUAAAAUUGGUGUUCCUGCUCUUACCACCCUAGGUUAUGGGAGGGAGAAAUACUUCAGCCCUGUGCUCCUCUGCCCCUCCAGGUGGGAAACUGCUAAGAUCCUAAAUGAGAUGCUAAGAUCCUAAAUGAGAACAAAGCAAUGUUUUCUGCAUACUUUGAGGGAGAACAAAGACAAAGGGCAUUCUGGCACCAAGGGGAAGAGAAAAAAGAAACUUGCUUCUAAGAAUUUGACCCUUAAGCACAGUGACGUAGAAAAAAGGAGAUUCUAUUUACAGAUGAAGUGAGAAGGGAAAUUAUAGCAAUGGGAAGGAAGAAACAGGUCACCAAUGCAAGUUUGUCCUUUGGGGCAGGGCAAAGAGGUAGGUCUGUUCCCUGGGGAGCUCAUCUUCCAGAAGGAGAAAUCACUGUGGGUAGCUGUGUUGCCUGUGGUACUUGUGUGCUGUUGUUCAUGGGCUGAGCUUUGAGGAAACCCCUGUGUGCACUCAUUGAUGCUGCAGCACAGUCAGGGCUGGCUUCCUUCCCUCCCCUGGAGGGGACAGGGCAGGAUGCUUUUUGAGUACUGAAUCUGUUCAUUCUUGAAGAGCUCAACUUCCUUGGAAAGUAAAAGAUACUGUCGGGGAAAGGGCAACAGAAGACUAGGAGUGUGCCUUGGAAACUGGAAAAUGUCCUGUGUGUUUUGUUCCUGCUGCUAGUGGGAGCCUGGAGGAGCUAGUUGGGUCUAUGGCAUUGUUCUGACUGUGAAUUAGCACAUCUCCCAGACCUUCCGCCAAGCACAGCACAUGUCAGUGCUGCCCCUGCAGCCCUCUUUUCUCUGUUAGGUCUCAAAGAAAACUUCCUCCUUCAUUUCACAAGGUCUUACAGCAACCUCCCCAUACCGCUGAGCCUGCUGGUAGCUUUGGAUGGUGUACCUCACAAGCUGACAGCAGGGUAGCUGCAGUGAUGCUAUCCCCGAGGGGCUGCAAAUUCUGUCUUAACCAAGCAGUCUGAUACUUCAGCUUCUCCGCAUCCGCAAUGAGCGUGGGAUUGCUGCAGGGAACAGAGCAGAACUGAGAAGGGAAAACAGCAGCAGCAGUGACCAGAGUGCUGCAUAAAGUUAUUUGGCCUGUCUUGAGGAACUGAGCCAGGGCACCAGGAGCUGCCCAGCUGUGGCAGGGUGCCUUCUUCUGUUUACUCCAUGACCACAACCUGCAGAGAGAGGAAGAGAGGCAGACAGACUGACAAUCUGGAGCAAAAGCAGCAGUGCAGAAGGACAGAAAUGGGAGUUCCCAAUAGAGAACUCAAACAAAAUGUAACCUCAGCUUUGAUGAUGUCAUUUUUCAGAUGAGAAGCACUGAAAGGAACACCAGGAUAUCAGCAAGCCCAGAUAAGCUUCAGUAAUGGGUAAUGAUUGCAAGGCAUUGUGUCAACGUUGGGUUAAGCAUGACAAGAAUUUCCCCAGUGUGAGAAGAUGUCUGCAUUUUCUGAAACCUGACAACCCAUGACUCAUUGACCCUUUAAUGCAAAAUUUCUCGUUGGAAGUGGAGCAGCCUUCUGUGCCUCCAAAAUCACCAGUCACUCUGGAAAUCUGAGAAAACAGCUCACUGAAGGAAAUACAGGUACAAAGGGAAAACAGCUCAGAAACCCCAGGCAGAUGACUCGCAGCCACCUCGUGGACCUGUUUGUGUCUUCCAGUUGCUGAUGUCCAGUUAGCUGUGUCAUCUCCAGAAUGAAGCAGCUCUGGGUGGGUCUGUCUUUCACUUGGAAACCCCCCGUUUCUAACCUUGUAAGUAGCCCUGAAGGUAUGUGGGGCUGCUAAAAUUAAACCAGACUGACCCCAGGAAUGGGAUGAAUGAUAUGACAGCUGCGUGGCCUUUGAAUCAGUUGUUAAUCUAACGAAGGGUGAUUUAGCUCUGCCUGUCACACGUAUACGUCGUAGCUGCAGCAGUGCUUGUUGGAGAGGUGGUCAGAGAGCCACGCUGCUUCAGAGGGAUCCCUGCUCCCCCUUCCCCAGGGUUAUCUCCAGCAUGGGCAUAGCCUCAGCUGCAGGAUCAUGUGUCUGGGGACUGGCAGCUCUGGGUUUAGAGCACUUUGUCCUGGGCAAAGAAACACUGCAGCCAUGUGACACAAAGUGCUUGAGAGGAAUAACGUUUCUUGGCCAAAUCGGAUAGGUGUGAAGAAUUUUAAGCUGUGAAGAAUUUAAGCUGAUGUGUUGCACUGGUCUGUGUCUACAUGGCUCUUGGCUCUUCCCAGGGUUGUGCUCAGUUGUCUUGUCUUCUUUCCCUUCUCAGUUCUCCAGAGCUAUAGCCCUAGGUGUGUCCUCCCUCUUUUAAGCAAGUUUUGCUCAUAUACACCUUCUUUUGCUCGGAUGCUCUCCUGACUCGGAUAAUUCCUUGCUACCAGCUCUCUUGUGCCAACUUCCUUCACAGCCAGCAACUCGGCACUGAGCAGAGUCUGAACACCCAGCCUGCUCUCCUGCCUCUUGGCCUUAUUAUACCCAAACUCUGGAAAAAUGUUGGCUCUGAGAAAGUGAAUGCAGGAUCAGGCGUGCAACCCGUCUUUUCUUUUUAGGCUCUGAACAGAGUUUCACGCAGUGAAGUGAGAUAGGGCAGGUCCUACUGGAGGGGGAGAUACUAGAGA